GACGAACGCUGGCGGCGUGCUUAACACAUGCAAGUCGAACGGAAAGGCCCUGCUUUUGUGGGGGGCUCGAGUGGCGAACGGGUGAGGAACACUUGAGUAACCUGCCCUUGACUUUGGGAUAACUUCAUGAAACUGGGGCUAAUACCGGAUAGGAGCUCCUGCUGCAUGGUGGGGGUUGGAAAGUUUCGGCGGUUGGGGAUGGACUCGCGGCUUAUCAGCUUGUUGGUGGGGUAGUGGCUUACCAAGGCUUUGACGGGUAGCCGGCCUGAGAGGGUGACCGGCCACAUUGGGACUGAGAUACGGCACAGACUCCUACGGGAGGCAGCAGUGGGGAAUAUUGCACAAUGGGCGGAAGCCUGAUGCAGCAACGCCGCGUGCGGGAUGACGGCCUUCGGGUUGUAAACCGCUUUCGCCUGUGACGAAGCGUGAGUGACGGUAAUGGGUAAAGAAGCACCGGCUAACUACGUG
rnacentral:rRNA from 1 species